UCCCAUGACACUUGUAGAAAAUACGUUGCUUCUGGAUCAGAAACUGGAUGAAUUCUUUUCAAAGCCUUCUCCAUUUUGAGGCACCUUGGAGGGCCUUUCAAGAUUCAGUGACACGGACUCCAGUCGCUUUGCAUUCACC